GGUUCUCCGUCACGGCGUAUUUUCAGAAAAGUCCAUUACGUUUUGAAGAAUCAACCCGCAGUCCUUUUUUAACAGGCUAACUGAGAUAACGUUUCAUUUUUGCAAAAACGUCCAUGUAGUUUAGUAUAUUCAACCCGCAGUCCUCUAAACAAACACAUCACGGCAGAUCCUCGUCCUCAUCAUUUCAAAAAAAGAUCCUCUUCCUCUUCCCCACGCACGAGCGGGCGCACCGCCGCCGCCGCCGCCUUCCUCGCGGAGUCUGCGGCCGAAGGAUCGGUUGGGGCGCACCGGGUCUAGGACGGCCUUCUGUGGGGCGCAGUGCGAGCUCUCGGCUCGGGGCAGGAGGCGGCUCGAUGAAGGGGACGUGGGGCGCAUCGCUCCUCUCCUGGUGUGACGCACGAGGGAAGGAGGAGGGGAUCGACCCAAGACGGGAGCUGAGGCCGGCGGCGCCCUUCACACAAGCCUCAUCGGCGGUGCCCUCUACACAAGCGUCACCGGCGGUGCGGCGGGAGAGCUCCUACCCGUCCAUAGGUGCGGGGAUGCAGAUCCGCGUCGCCAGCCUGUAUUAGGCCGAGGUUGACGCGCCGGCGCAGGGGUCACCGUCCAUCUUCGUCAGGACUCCAGAGUACUCCAGCAACAGCCACUGGACGACAGGAAGUCCGUGUGCUCGAUUUGAGUGUGACAGGUACGUCGUUGUGUGCUUCUCAGUACAGUAGAUUUACCACGCGGGGUGGUGACUGGGAGGCUGGGACAUGCUGGCACGGUCAAACAGCCGGUUGACUGCGAUCAGGGUGCUAGAGGCUCUUGGGGUCGCAGCCCGCUCGCCUGCUGGACGUAUAAUGUUGAUUAUUUAGAGACCUCAUCUUCAUGAGACUAGCAAGGGAUGGACAUUCUGAAGAAGAAGAGAUGAGGUGAGUUUCUGAAGUUCACCGUCCAAUCCAAGUAUUAAAGGUGAACAUUACUAUUCAAAGGGACAUAAUUAACCUGUUAAAUUAUUUUUAGAGCAAGAAACCAGUUAUUAUCUAACCGAAUAACUAUAAACUAGCUACUUUUUUCUAAAAUGAGGUGUCGUCUUUAAAUAGAGGAGAUGGACUGGAGAGGGGGCUUGAGAAAUGCUUAUUAGGCUAGAGGCGUAUGAUUUUUUUCUCCCGUUGCAACGCACGGGCAUGUUUGCUAUAAUAAUAAAGCAUCCAGUGGAGGGGCUUAGAAAAAUAGAAACGGUUCUAUUUGAUAUACAAUGUAAUUCAGAAAUUAAUGGCUGGAGGAUCCUAAACUAACAUAUGGCAUUUUGUUUCAAUUUCUCUUUACAUGAUUGUGUUACUUAUGCACAAUCACCAUACUUGGCAUAGGUGCUGAAAUAUGGGAUGGGCUUUAGGCCCAUCUAGAAAUUUCUGAAAAUCUCUAAGGGCCCAUGUGGGUUGUAUGACACUACGUGUAGUGGGAAGUUUAGUCCCAUCCCGGAUGUGGAAGAAGAGAUGAGGCCCUCGCGCACUCCUCCUCCUCCGCCCGCCGCGCCGCGGGUUGCGGGAUUAAGCCGAGCCGAGCUCACACCUACGCGCUUAUUUUUGCCAGUCGCUAACGAAGAGUUUCUGACAGCUGAGCCACGAUCUGAGACGUCGGAUCGUGGGCUGUCACGGACUCGGACGUGGGUCGAGCCCACGUCUCUCCACGCGGCUGCGCCUAUAUAAGCGUACGGUGUCUCUGAACCCUAGCCGCCUCGAUCAGAUCGCAUCGCAUUUGCUCCACGCGCACGCCCACUGUCGUUCCGUUGCUGCUGCUGCCGCCGGUGACUCCAUCCCGUCCGCCGCGUACACGGUCGACGGGAGAGCAGGUCUCCGAAACCCCGUCUCUCCGGUUCCUAUACGGGAAAGAGGCGAAUAGGUUUUUGGGAAGCGACUACGCGACUGCUCGCCGUUCAUCUACUUCCUCUACGUCCGCGUCGUCCUCGUCAUCACCAUGUCCACUGACGCCGAACGUGCCGCCGCCGAGAAAGCUGAAGCCAACAAGAAGGCCGCCGAGGACGCUGCUGCCGCCACCACCGCCGCGGCGUCUGCAUGGCCCACUGGAGGGUAUAACGCGUUUAUCCCGCUCCUGUAUAUUUUCGUAUUAGCAGUACUAGCAGUAUGUGUAGAUUUGUCUACUGUUUGCUUAGUACGUGCAUGUUUAGAUCAGAGUCAGUACGUCAUCAAUUCAGUCAAUGCCAUGCUAGUGAUUUAUCUAUGGAUUAAAUUAGUCGAAAAAUUGCCUAUUUACUCAGCAAUCCAAAAACCUAUCAUGUGUAGGAAUUUUUCA